GAUAAACGCUGGCGGCGUGCCUAACACAUGCAAGUCGAACGUCCUCUUUCCUUUCGGGGAGAGAGGGAGUGGCGGACGGGUGAGUAACACAUGGGUGACCUGGCCCACAGUGAGGGAUACCGGCGAGAAAUCGCCGACAAACCCGCCUAGGCUCUUGCUCGCGAGGGAGAGAGAGCAAAGCUGCUGCUCGCAAGAGCAGAGGCGCUGAGGGAUGGGCCUGUGGCCGAUUAGCUAGUUGGGGGGGUAAGAGCCUCCCAAGGCGACGAUCGGUAGCUGGUCUGAGAGGACGAACAGCCACACUGGGAUUGAGAACGGCCCAGACUCCUACGGGGGGCAGCAGUGAGGAAUUUUCCGCAAUGGGCGCAAGCCUGACGGAGCAACGCCGCGUGCAGGAGGACGCUUUUCGGAGUGUAAACUGCCUUUCUGUGGGACGAGGGAGGACGGUACCACAGGAAGAAGCCCCGGCUAACUACGUGCCAGCCGCCGCCGUAACAC
rnacentral:rRNA from 1 species